rnacentral:misc_RNA from 1 species
GCGACUGUAUUAUUGUUUACAUUAGCGGGCACAUUAAAAGUUCUUCAAGUAAUUAAUGCAUUCCAAAAGCCAACAGGCAAGGUACAAACACUGAGCUCAGAAUCAGAACAAAAGAAAGGAGGCCUAAAACCUAACUGAACACUUCAUCUAUACAGACAACUCAGCCCACUUCCCACCCAGAAACCCUAACUUGAAAAAGAAGACCAAGCCGCCAUUUCUUCUUGAAGCACCAAAGAGAACCACCAACAGGAUGUGACCAUCAACAGAAGAAAAGGUUUCAAAGAGACCUUCCAUAAACACAAAGAAAAAGUCUCAAAAGAGACCUUGCACAAACACAAGCCAUUAGCACAAAUAAUCUUCUAUCAACAAUAGACUUCCUCUCUUUUCCAUGUGAGUUCAUAUCAACAAUUGACUUCCACUAUUUUCCAUACGAGUUGCAAUCCGCUGCCAUGGCAAGGAGAGCAACAUGGAAAAUCUAGGCAUCUCAAUCUCGUUUAGCCUUUAGGAACCACCUUCAAAUGUGGAGAGACUAUAAACCCUGGAAUUACAACAUUUAACCAUGCAACAAACCCUCCCAUAAAAACGGCGAUGGCUUCUAGACCCAAGCUUCGAAUAAACACAAACAGAGCUUGAUCACGUCUCCCUCAUCAAGAGAACUCCAUAAAGAUCAGCAAAACAAGACCAAAACAAACAGUGUCUACACACCAAAUCCGGAAGGGAAGGAACACCCGCUCCUGAUCGGCACAAAACAGGAAAAUCUCCCCCACCCAAAGGACUACUCGACUUACUUGAGAAAAACAAAACCCAAAAAAAAACCUUUGAGGGAAACUUCUCUCUCUAGAAAACCUAGAGAGAGGGACCCCAAGUAACAUCGUUUCUUCUGCUACCACCAAUCCACAACGUCAUUAUUCUAAUGGUUCAUGAAAUUCUUCCAAAAGUCAACACGAAGAAAUAAGGGAACAAGAAAAUAACAAAAAUAGAUUUAAAAUACUGUGCUCAUUCACUUUCAAACAGAUGAAUUGAUAUUUGUGUCCCGAAUCCAAAAUUGGGAGCCCAACACCCCCACGAGUAGACCCAAAAACAAUUUAUUUAACCAGAUUAAUGCUGAACUCAGGCUUUUGCAUUGCACAGUUGCUGAUCAAAAUUUAAGCAAAACUAUGUGAAUUUAUACGUUUUCUUUAAUCCUAGUUAUCGACUACUUCAAUCAGGGUAGGCUCAUAGUCAUUAGGAGCCUCAAAUCCAUGGAGAUUCAUCACAGUUGCAGCCACAUUAGCAAGUCCUCCACUGGGAACAUCAUUGCGGAACCUGACACCAGGUGCCAAUCCAGGACCUCCAAUUGCAAUAGGCACUGGCUGAAGAGUGUGAGACGUGAGUAUCUGAAUUUUGCCACUCUUAUCAACAACAGGUUUCCCAGACUUGUCCCUCUUCACCAUGUCCUCAGCAUUGCCAUGAUCGGCAGUAACAACAUAUAUUCCACCAACUUGCUCUAUAGCAUCAAUGAUCAUCUUGACAGCAUCAUCUGCAGCCUUGCAUGCCACAAUUGUGGCAUCAAUAUCUCCUGUAUGUCCAACCAUGUCACUAUUUGGUAGGUUGACACGAACCUGGUGGAAUUUGCGGCCAAGGAUAGCAUCCCUUGCCUUCUCUGCAAUCUCUAUUGCCUUCAUCUUUGGUUUGACAUUGAAUGUGAUUCCAACAUCACUGGGAAUUUCAACAUAUUCCUCCAUUUCUGGAUUAAAAUAUCCAGAACGAUUUCCAUUCCAGAAGAAAGUGACAUGACCAAAUUUCACAGUCUCACUGCAAGCAAACGUGCAAACACCAUUAUGGACUAAAUAUUCACCAGAUGUUCUUUCUAUCUCCGGAGGAGAUACAAGGUAAUGGCUUGGAAGCUUCAACUCGCCAUCAUACUCGAGCAUUCCAGCAUAACGGAUUUUAGGGUAUCUGACUCUUUCAAAUUUGUCAAAAUUCUCGUAUUCAAGUGCCUUGGCAAGCAUAACCAUACGAUCUGCACGGAAGUUGAAUGUGACAACAGCAUCACCAUCCACAACUGGGCCCACAGGCUUCCCAUUCUCAUCAACAAUGACAAAAGGAGGUAAGUACUGGUCAUUAGCUUUGGGAACUUCCCUUAGUUUCUUGACAGCUUCAACAGCAUUCCGAAACUUAUGUGGGGCUUCACCAAGGACCUGAGCAUCCCAUCCUCGUUUCACAACAUUCCAGUCAUUCUCAUAACGAUCCAUUGUAACAUGCAUGCGGCCUCCACCAGAUGCAAUCUGUGCAUCAACACCUUUCUCACGUAAAUUUGCAAGGUCUUUCUCUAGAGUUUCUACAAAGCCAACACUUGUACCAUCUAUAACAUCUCGUCCAUCAGUAAGAACAUGAACUCGGAUUCUUUUAGCGCCAUGUUCAGCAGCACCUUUUAGCAACAACUGCAACUGAUCAAGCCUGGAGUGAACACCACCAUCACUCAAUAAGCCAAUAAGGUGUAAAGUACCAGAUGCAAAGGAUUCCUGUAUGUACUUAAAUCCCUCUCCAUCAAAGAUUUUUCCAGAGGCAAGAGCAAGGUCAACAAGCUUUGCGCCUUGAGCAUAAAUGCGUCCAGCGCCAAGAGCAUUGUGACCAACUUCACUGUUGCCCAUAUCAUCUUCAGUCGGAAGACCCACAGCAGUGCCAUGAGCCCUAAUCAAUCUCCAUUUCUCUGGAGCAGUCUUUUUGAAGGAGUCCAUGGUGGGAGUCUCAGCAACAUGGAUACAGUUAUAUUUAUCAGGUUUAGCCUCACCCCAACCAUCCAAAACCACCAUUGCAAUAAUCUUCCCCUUGGGAAGCUUUGGAUGAUCUGCCAGCUUCCAUGUAAAUUCUCCAGAGCUCCCCAUCUCAAUCCACCUCAAAAAGAUCUAUGAACAAAAUCAAAUAACCAAAAAAAUCUCCACUCAACCAGAUAUAUAUACAAGGAUAACCCAAAUGAAAUGAAACCACAGAAUAUUCAGAAGCAAAGUCCAAAAUCCCAAUUGCAUUACAGCCUCACCUGAAUUGAAUUGACCGAUCAAAGUCUGAAAGUGAUUAAAAUCAAGCAGCGAUACACAGAGAAAACAAAAAACCAGUUGCAUUUGCGGAUCCGUGGGUUAAUAAAGUGAGAAAUCAGGGAGUAGUAGAUGGAGUUCCGCCGUUGGUUAACAGUAAAAAUGUGGUUAAGGGUGACGUUGACUUUUCGCCUUUGGACCUUUCGAAGAAUAACUACUUUUCGUCUCGUCGUGCUUCGCACGCGACUUUUCUAGAAAAAAUUUCUCGCAUUUACGUGGCUGUUUUGAUCAUCAAGAAACGAAUAUCCCGGUUUAUGCCGAAGUUUUU